rnacentral:rRNA from 1 species
CCGGUCUUAAACGGACGCGGUAAACGUGCAAAGGUAGCUAAAUUAUGGCCUAUUAAUUGUAGGUCCUGUGAAUGGUUUGACGAGCUCCCGACUGUCUCUAGUUUGGUUUAGUGAACUUGAAUUGGAUGUGCAAAUGCUUCCAUGGGAAAGAAAGACGAGAAGACCCCGUGAAGUUAGAGUUUUGGCUGGGGCAGCAAAAGAGCAAAGCUAGACCGGGUGCGCUACGAUGUGAUAAGGAGAACAAGUUACUCCGGGGAUAACAGCGUUAGUCUUGAUAGUUCUUAUAGAUAGGCGGGUUUGCGACCUCGAUGUUGGCUCUGGGUACCCUUGGGCUUGAGGCGGUUCUUAGGGUUGGUUCG